rnacentral:rRNA from 1 species
UACGUAGGUGGCGAGCGUUGUCCGGAUUUACUGGGCGUAAAGAGCGCGCAGGCGGUCGUCCAAGUCGCGUGUGAAAGCCCCCGGCUCAACUGGGGAGGGUCACGCGAUACUGAUCGACUCGAAGGCAGGAGAGGGAAGCGGAAUUCCCGGUGUAGUGGUGAAAUGCGUAGAUAUCGGGAGGAACACCAGUGGCGAAGGCGGGUCUCUGGGCCGAUACUGACGCUGAGGAGGCGAAAGCGUUGGGGAGCGAACAGG